CAGGUCUGAGGCUCAGAAGCAGAGUGUGGGCGUCUCCACCAUGGCCUGGGCCCCUCUCCUCCUCGCCCUCCUUGCUCACAGCUCAGGUGA
rnacentral:pre_miRNA from 2 species